rnacentral:rRNA from 1 species
GAUGAACGCUAGCGAUAGGCCUAACACAUGCAAGUCGAGGGGCAUCACAUGAAGCAGCAAUGCGGAUGGUGGCGACCGGCGCACGGGUGAGUAACGCGUAUGCAAUCUACCUACAACAAGGGAAUAACCCGUUGAAAAACGGACUAAUACCCUAUAAUACAGGGGUCCCGCAUGGGAAUAUUUGUUAAAGAUUUAUCGGUUGUAGAUGAGCAUGCGUUCCAUUAGCUAGUUGGUGAGGUAACGGCCCACCAAGGCAACGAUGGAUAGGGGAACUGAGAGGUUUAUCCCCCACACUGGUACUGAGACACGGACCAGACUCCUACGGGAGGCAGCAGUGAGGAAUAUUGGUCAAUGGACGCAAGUCUGAACCAGCCACGUCGCGUGAAGGAAGACGGCCCUACGGGUUGUAAACUUCUUUUGUAAGGGAAUAAAGUGUAGUACGUGUACUAUUUUGCAUGUACCUUACGAAUAAGGAUCGGCUAACUCCGUGCCAGCAGCCGCGGUAAAAGUCACG